GAUGAAGAACGCAGCGAAAUGCGAUAAGUAAUGUGAAUUGCAGAAUUCAGUGAAUCAUCGAAUCUUUGAACGCACCUUGCGCUCCUUGGUACUCCGAGGAGCAUGCCUGUUUGAGUGUCAUUAAAUUCUCAACUAUACAAAGUUGUAUCAAUUUUGUAUAGCUUGGAUCUGGGAUUUUGCGGGCUUCAUAUCACAAGCCGGCUGUCCUUAAAUGCAUUAGCAAAGCUUUUUGUUGCUGAUCUUUGGUGUGAUAAUUAUCUACGCCGUUGAAAAGCACCAUAAUAUUGAGAGGCUUAGCUUCUAAUUGUCCAUGUGACAAUACUUGACCAUCUGACCUCAAAUCAGGUAGGAUUACCCGCUGAACUUAAGCAUAUCAAUAAGCGGAGGA
rnacentral:misc_RNA from 1 species